AGCAGCCGCGGUAAUUCCAGCUCCAAUAGCGUAUAUUAAAGUUGUUGCAGUUAAAAAGCUCGUAGUCGAAUUUCGGGAUCAAAUUGUCGGUCGUGCCUCGGUACGUACUGGUAUUAUUGGUUCCUCCCUUCUGAAGAACCACGAUGUCAUUAAUUUGGUGUCAUGGGAAAUCAGGACUGUUACUUUGAAAAAAAUUUAGAGUGUUUAAAGCAGGCUCGCGCUUGAAUACAUUAGCAUGGAAUAAUGAAAUAGGACGUUUGAUUCUAUUUUGUUGGUUUCUAGGAUUGACGUAAUGAUUAAUAGGGAUAGUUGGGGGCAUUAGUAUUCAAUUGUCAGAGGUGAAAUUCUUGGAUUUUAUUGAAGACUAACUACUGCGAAAAGCAUUUGCCAAGGAUGUUUUCAUUAAUCAAGAACGUAAAGUUAGGGGAAUCGAAGACGAUCAGAUACGUCGUAGUCUUAACCAUAAACUAUGCCGACUAGGGAUCGGAUGAUGUUUAAUUUUUAAUGUACUUCAUUCGGC
rnacentral:rRNA from 1 species